UACGGAGGGGGCUAGCGUUAUUCGGAAUUACUGGGCGUAAAGCGCACGUAGGCGGACUGGAAAGUUGGGGGUGAAAGCCCAGGGCUCAACCCUGGAACUGCCUCCAAAACUCCCAGUCUUGAGGUCGAGAGAGGUGAGUGGAAUUCCGAGUGUAGAGGUGAAAUUCGUAGAUAUUCGGAGGAACACCAGUGGCGAAGGCGGCUCACUGGCUCGAUACUGACGCUGAGGUGCGAAAGCGUGGGGAGCAAACAGG
rnacentral:rRNA from 1 species